GUCCCCAGCCAACAACGUGGACCUGAAACCGUGUUAACAGCUGCCUGUCCAAUAUCAGCAUGCAGAAUCUUGUGGACAUCGACCCAGAAUGUACUCCUGACCACAUGAGCCCACGACCGAAGAAAUAAGAUGGCGGUGUCCGGGCACUGAUUAAGCGACGUCUUGAGAACAAGGCCAAGAGAAAUAACAACACUCAACUGAACCACAUGGGUCUAAACAAAGGAAGCAGG